rnacentral:sRNA from 1 species
GCCGGGCAUGGUGGUGCUUGCCUGUAAUCCCAGCUACUCGGAGGCUGAGGCAGGAGAAUUGCUUGAACCCAGGAGGCGGAGGUUACAGUGAGCUGAGAUCACGCCACUGCACUCCAGCCUGGGCAACAGAGCGAGACUCUGUCUAAC